rnacentral:rRNA from 1 species
ACGAACGCUGGCGGCGUGCUUAACACAUGCAAGUCGAACGGAAAGGCCCUGCUUUUGUGGGGUGCUCGAGUGGCGACCGGGUGAGUAACACCUGAGUAACCUGCCCUUGACUUUGGUAUAACUUCAGGAAACUGGGGCUACUACCGGAUAGGAGCUUCUGCUGCCUGGUGGGGGUUGGAAAGUUUCGGCGGUUGGGGAUGGACUCACGGCUUAUCAGCUUGCUGGUGGGGUAGUGGCUUACCAAGGCUUUGACGGGUAGCCGGCCUGAGAGGGUGACCGGCCACAUUGGGACUGAGAUACGGCGCAGACGCCUACGGGAGGCAGCAGUGGGGAAUAUUGCACAAUGGGCGGAAGCCUGAUGCAGCAACGCCGCGUGCGGGAUGACGGCCUUCGGGUUGUAAACCGCUUUCGCCGGUGACGAAGCGUGAGUGACGGUAAUGGGUAAAGAAGCACCGGCUAACUACGUG